CACACAGAAAGUGGGACGGGGUUACCCAAAGUAUCCUUAUUGGAUGGGGGGGGGGGAGUAAUGUCCCCUACUAGAAAGGAGAGGGCAAGGCUGGUGCCAGCCGCCGUGGUAAAACCAGCUCUUCAAGUGGUCGGGAUGAUUAUUGGGCUUAAAGUGUCCGUAGCCGGUUUAGUAAGUUCCUGGUAAAAUCGAGUAGUUUAACUAUUUGUAUGCUAGGAAUACUGCUAUACUAGAGGGGGGGAGAGGUCUGAGGUACUAUAGGGGUAGGGGUGAAAUCUUAUAAUCUUUGUAGGACCACCAGUGGCGAAGGCGUCAGAUUGGAACGUGCCUGACGGUGAGGGACGAAAGCCAGGGGAGCGAACCGGAUUAAAUACCCGGGUAGUCCUGGCCGUAAACGAUGCAUACUAGGGGAUGGCCGGGCCAUGAGCCGGUUCAGUGCCGUAGGAAAGCCGUUAAGUGUGCCGCCUGGAAAGUACGGUCGCAGGGUUAAAACUUAAGGGAAUUGGGGG
rnacentral:rRNA from 1 species